rnacentral:rRNA from 1 species
UACGGGGGGGGCAAGCGUUGUUCGGAAUUACUGGGCGUAAAGGGCUUGUAGGUGGCCAAUUAAGUCAGACGUGAAAUCCCUCGGCUUAACCGGGGAACUGCGUCUGAUACUGGAUGGCUUGAGUGUGGGAGAGGGAUGCGGAAUUCCAGGUGUAGCGGUGAAAUGCGUAGAUAUCUGGAGGAACACCGGUGGCGAAGGCGGCAUCCUGGACCAUUACUGACACUGAAAAGCGAAAGCCAGGGGAGCAAACGGG